rnacentral:rRNA from 1 species
UACGUAGGGUCCGAGCGUUGUCCGGAAUUACUGGGCGUAAAGAGCUCGUAGGCGGUCUGUCGCGUCUGCUGUGAAAACUCAGGGCUUAACCCUGAGCUUGCAGUGGGUACGGGCAGACUAGAGUGCGGUAGGGGAGAUUGGAAUUCCUGGUGUAGCGGUGGAAUGCGCAGAUAUCAGGAGGAACACCGAUGGCGAAGGCAGAUCUCUGGGCCGUAACUGACGCUGAGGAGCGAAAGCGUGGGGAGCGAACAGG